UUAAUUGAAACCAAAAUAGAGGUAUGUCACUGUUAAUGACAUUAAUGAGAUCAUCCAAUUAAA
rnacentral:tRNA from 1 species